AUCGCUUAAUUAAAUAACUUAAUUAUGGUAAGCUGAUAGUAAACACCAAAUAUAUUUUUACCUUACCCAACCCCCCUCUCUCUCUCCGCCUGUCUCGCACACAAGGGAAGGGGAAAUAAGGAAAGGGAUUACAAGAUAGGUGCAUAUUUUGGAAGAUGGAUUCGGGCGAGGCCUUUGUUCCGAGGAGGCGGACCAGACAACAAUGGGAUAAAUACUUUCUUGAGUUGUUUGAGAAAAAGAAGGGGUUGAGUCAAAGUGGUAAUCCUUCCGAGACUUGUUGGAUGAAAACAGAAGAUGAAAAAAAGGACAAAGGAAAAAACAGUGUGAACGAUAGGAAGAAGGUGAAAAUGUUUGAUGAUAAGGAAGGUAGUGAAAGAGACAUCAUUAUCAUUAAGUAGACUGAGAAGGGCUUAAGUAUUUUCUUUUAGUAGUACUUGUAAUGGUGAUAAGUUUUAACAGGAACAAUGAAAUCUAUUAUAGUUAAGGCUACUUCCUCCGGUCCA